UACGGAGGGGGCUAGCGUUGUUCGGAAUUACUGGGCGUAAAGCGCACGUAGGCGGCUUUGUAAGUUAGAGGUGAAAGCCCGGAGCUCAACUCCGGAACUGCCUUUAAGACUGCAUCGCUUGAACGUCGGAGAGGUAAGUGGAAUUCCGAGUGUAGAGGUGAAAUUCGUAGAGAUCGGGAGGAACAUCAGUGGCGAAGGCGGCCCUCUGGACCAGUACUGACGCUGAGGCACGAAAGCGUGGGGAGCAAACAGG
rnacentral:rRNA from 1 species